rnacentral:lncRNA from 1 species
CAAAUGCUCAUUUCCCCUGCCUUCUGAGACUGCACCUUACCUUUGCAGCGUGGGAGCAGAGUCCCAGAGAAUCCCCUUUGUGUAGCACAUCCAUCUGAUUUUCUAGGCCGUCUUCAAUUCCUUGGAUAUCAGGCAUACCUGGAGACAGACUCAGGCCCAGUCAUGGAACUGUUGAUGUGGCUGGAUUCGCUCAUCUUUUAAAGAGAGAUGUCUUAUAUACACACAGAAAAACACACAACGCAAAGUUAAGUUUAUUGAAUCACUAGAAAACAGAGAAUUACACGACACUGCCAGCACCAUGGAGGCUUUCUGCGCUGCCUGGAGAAGCUGUGUAGGUGUGAGACAGGAUCCUGGCUGGAUGUACUGCUGUCACUGUUGUGAAAUUCUUAAUAAUUUAUGAACAAGGGACCCUAUAUUUCAUUUUGCACUGGCCUAUAAAUUAUGUUUCUGGUCAUGCGCCUACCUAGUCAUGCCGCCUCCUCCAAAGUAACCUUUACCUAACUUUGAUGGGCUAACUCUUCUGUAUAGUUUUAUCACCACAGUAUGAUAUGUUAUGGUUUAUUUUACUUCUGAA